rnacentral:rRNA from 1 species
AUAGCGCAUAGUACCGUGAGGGAAAGGUGAAAAGAACCCCGGGAGGGGAGUGAAAUAGAACAUGAAAUUGUGUGCUUACAAGCAGUAGGAGAGCGACUCUUCGCUUGACUUCGUGCCUGUUGAAGAAUGAGCCGGCGACUUAUAAGCAGUGGCAGGUUAAGGUAGAGAAUACCGAAGCCAUAGUGAAAGCGAGUCUGAAUAGGGCGUAGGUCACUGUUUAUAGACCCGAACCCGGAUGAUCUAACCAUGGCCAGGAUGAAGCCUAAGUAAAAUUAUGUGGAGGUCCGAACCGACUGAUGUUGAAAAAUCAGCGGAUGAGUUGUGGUUAGGGGUGAAAUGCCAAUCGAAUCCGGAGCUAGCUGGUUCUCCCCGAAAUGUGUUUAGGCGCAGCGGUUAGUGUUCCAACUUAGGGGUAAAGCACUGUUUCGGUGCGGGCCUUUAACCGGGUACCAAAUCGAGGCAAACUCUGAAUACUAAGUGUACAACUAACCAGUAAGACUAUGGGGGAUAAGCUUCAUAGUCAAGAGGGAAACAGCCCAGAUCACCAGCUAAGGCCCCUAAAUAAUUGCUAAGUGGCAAAGGUGGUGGGAAUGCAUAAACAACCAGGAGGUUUGCUUAGAAGCAGCAACCCUUUAAAGAGUGCGUAAUAGCUCACUGGUCGAGUAAUCCUGCGCCGAAAAUGUACGGGACUAAGUAAUUUGCCGAAGCUGUGAGAUAUACGUAAUAAAAAGUAUAUCGGUAGGGGAGCGUUCCGUUGUAGGCUGAAGCAUUAGCGAAAGCGGGUGUGGACGAAACGGAAGUGAGAAUGUCGGCUUGAGUAGCGAAAAUACUGGUGAGAAUCCAGUACCCCGAAAACCUAAGGUUUCCUUCGGAAGGCUCGUCCGCGAAGGGUUAGUCAGGGCCUAAGGUGAGGCUGAAAAGCGUAAUCGAUGGAUGGCAGGUUAAUAUUCCUGCACUAUCUUUUAUUGGUAACGAGGGACGAAGGAGGCUAUGUUAGCUGAUAAUUGGAUUUUUUCAGUUUAAGUAUACGAGGUGUUGAGGAGUGGCGAAAACAUUCUGAGCUGAGUUACGAAUACGGAAUACUACGGUAUUGAAGUAACAAAUGUCACACUUCCAAGAAAAGCUCGCAAUGCCAUAAAUAAAAGAUACCUGUACCCGAAACCGACACAGGUAGGUAGGUAGAGAAUACCAAGGGGCGCGAGAGAACCCUCUCUAAGGAACUCGGCAAAAUAACCCUGUAACUUCGGGAGAAAGGGUGCCUGUAAAGGCUGCAAUAUCAAGGUCCAAGCGACUGUUUACCAAAAACACAGGUCUCCGCUAAGUUGAAAGACGAUGUAUGGGGGCUGACGCCUGCCCAGUGCCGGAAGGUUAAAGAAGUCGGUUAGCGUUUGCGAAGCUGGCGACUGAAGCCCUGGUGAACGGCGGCCGUAACUAUAACGGUCCUAAGGUAGCGAAAU